CCUACGGGUGGCAGCAGUGGGGAAUAUUGCACAAUGGGGGAAACCCUGAUGCAGCGACGCCGCGUGAGUGAAGAAGUAUUUCGGUACGUAAAGCUCUAUCAGCAUGGAAGAAAAUGACGGUACCUGACUAAGAAGCCCCGGCUAACUACGUGCCAGCAGCCGCGGUAAUACGUAGGGGGCAAGCGUUAUCCGGAUUUACUGGGUGUAAAGGGAGCGUAGACGGCAGGGCAAGUCUGAAGUGAAAUCCCGGGGCUUAACCAUGGAACUGCGUUGGAAACUGUGCAGCUGGAGUGUAGGAGAGGUAAGCGGAAUUCCUAGUGUAGCGGUGAAAUGCGUAGAUAUUAGGAGGAACACCAGUGGCGAAGGCGGCCUACUGGACUGUAACUGACGUUGAGGCUCGAAAGCGUGGGGAGCAAACAGGAUUAGAUACCCUAGUAGUC
rnacentral:rRNA from 1 species